GGUGAUGAUGAUGAUUGCUUCUUCUGACACCUCUUGUAUGAGAAUGACUUGGUUAUUCUUUGAGCAUAGUAGCAACUCUCUGAACC